GAAUGUGUUGAGAUAUCAGACAUCUGUGGUCCAAACUCAAUUUGCAACAACACUGUUGGGAGUCACAAUUGCUUAUGCAAGAGUGGAUAUAAUGUAACAGACACAAACCUCCCUAUAAACAGCAAUAACACAUGUGAAGAUGUAGAUGAAUGUGUUAAGAUACCAGGUGUCUGUGGUCCAAACUCAAUCUGCAACAACACUGUUGGGAGUCACAAUUGCUCGUGCAAGAGUGGAUAUAAUGUCACAGACGCAAACACCCCUAUAAACAGCAAUAACACAUGUGAAGAUAUAAAUGAAUGUCUGUUCAGUUCAUCUGUAUGUGGCCCAAAUGCCAACUGCACAAAUGAAAAGGGAAGUUACAAUUGCUCAUGUCUGGAUGGAUUCACUGCAACAAACUCAAGUCUCCACAUCAGCAUCAAUAACACAUGUAGAGAUGUGGAUGAAUGUGUUAAGAUACCAGAUGUCUGUGGUCCAAACUCAAUCUGCAACAACACUGUUGGGAGUCACAAUUGCUCGUGCAAGAGUGGAUAUAAUGUAAC